rnacentral:ncRNA from 1 species
AUCGUUGCUAUAGUAAUCCUGCUCAGUACGAGAGGAACCGCAGGAUCAGACAUUUGGUUCAUGCGCUUGGCUGAAAGGCCAGUGGCGCGAAGCUACCAUCUGAAAGAUAAUGACUGAACGCCUCUAAGUCAGAAUCUUGCCUAUCGACUGGCGACGAUACGUUGCGUCCGAGUUGUUGCAAGGUUGACGGUAGACCGGCGAUCGCCUUGCGCGGUCGACCGGUCUCCACUUGAAGCCGUGCUGCCACUUGUUCACGGCAGCGCCGUCGGCUAGCACGAAAGACACGCUGCGACGGUAGCGAAAUCUCUAAUCACCCAACGGGUGAAACAGCAGUCAGACAGCAGAGCUCUCCGCAGACGACGGACUUACCGCUUGAGGUGUCAUGAUUACUAGAGCAGUUACGACACUGCGAUUCGUUGAGACUGCCUUUCAUUGGACUACUC